GACGAACGCUGGCGGCGUGCUUAACACAUGCAAGUCGAACGGAAAGGCCCUGCUUUUGUGGGGUGCUCGAGUGGCGAACGGGUGAGUAACACGUGAGUAACCUGCCCUUGACUUUGGGAUAACUUCAGGAAACUGGGGCUAAUACCGGAUAGGAGCUCCUGCUGCAUGGUGGGGGUUGGAAAGUUUCGGCGGUUGGGGAUGGACUCGCGGCUUAUCAGCUUGUUGGUUGGGUAGUGGCUUACCAAGGCUUUGACGGGUAGCCGGCCUGAGAGGGUGACCGGGCACAUUGGGACUGCGAUACGGACCAGACUCCUACGGGAGGCAGCAGUGGGGAAUAUUGCACAAUGGGCGGAAGCCUGAUGCAGCAACGCCGCGUGCGGGAUGACGGCCUUCGGGUUGUAAACAGCUUUCGCCUGUGACGAAGCGUGAGUGACGGUAAUGGGUAAAGAAGCACCGGCUAACUACGUG
rnacentral:rRNA from 1 species